rnacentral:rRNA from 1 species
CGGACGGGUGAGUAAUGUAUGGGGAUCUGCCUGAUGGCGGGGGAUAACUACUGGAAACGGUAGCUAAUACCGCAUAAUGUCUACGGACCAAAGCGGGGGACCUCCGGGCCUCGCGCCAUCGGAUGUGCCCAGAUGGGAUUAGCUAGUAGGUGGGGUAACGGCUCACCUAGGCGACGAUCCCUAGCUGGUCUGAGAGGAUGACCAGCCACACUGGAACUGAGACACGGUCCAG